rnacentral:rRNA from 2 species
GAUGAACGCCGGCGGUGUGCCUAAUACAUGCAAGUCGUACGCACUGGCCCAACUGAUUGAUGGUGCUUGCACCUGAUUGACGAUGGAUCACCAGUGAGUGGCGGACGGGUGAGUAACACGUAGGUAACCUGCCCCGGAGCGGGGGAUAACAUUUGGAAACAGAUGCUAAUACCGCAUAACAACAAAAGCCACAUGGCUUUUGUUUGAAAGAUGGCUUUGGCUAUCACUCUGGGAUGGACCUGCGGUGCAUUAGCUAGUUGGUAAGGUAACGGCUUACCAAGGCGAUGAUGCAUAGCCGAGUUGAGAGACUGAUCGGCCACAAUGGAACUGAGACACGGUCCAUACUCCUACGGGAGGCAGCAGUAGGGAAUCUUCCACAAUGGGCGCAAGCCUGAUGGAGCAACACCGCGUGAGUGAAGAAGGGUUUCGGCUCGUAAAGCUCUGUUGUUGGAGAAGAACGUGCGUGAGAGUAACUGUUCACGCAGUGACGGUAUCCAACCAGAAAGUCACGGCUAACUACGUGCCAGCAGCCGCGGUAAUACGUAGGUGGCAAGCGUUAUCCGGAUUUAUUGGGCGUAAAGCGAGCGCAGGCGGUUGCUUAGGUCUGAUGUGAAAGCCUUCGGCUUAACCGAAGAAGUGCAUCGGAAACCGGGCGACUUGAGUGCAGAAGAGGACAGUGGAACUCCAUGUGUAGCGGUGGAAUGCGUAGAUAUAUGGAAGAACACCAGUGGCGAAGGCGGCUGUCUGGUCUGCAACUGACGCUGAGGCUCGAAAGCAUGGGUAGCGAACAGGAUUAGAUACCCUGGUAGUCCAUGCCGUAAACGAUGAGUG